UUAGGCGUAGACGAAUCGGUAGAGUCACUGGCCUUGAAAAACGCCUUUUGAGGCUAAGAGCCAGGGAAAACAUUGCGUGCGGGUUCGAAUCCCGUCGCCGAAU
rnacentral:tRNA from 1 species